UACGUAGGGCGCAAGCGUUGUCCGGAAUUAUUGGGCGUAAAGAGCUCGUAGGCGGUCUGUUACGUCCGCUGUGAAAACCCAGGGCUUAACCCUGGGCUUGCAGUGGAUACGGGUAGACUAGAGGCAGGUAGGGGAGAAUGGAAUUCCCGGUGUAGCGGUGAAAUGCGCAGAUAUCGGGAGGAACACCGGUGGCGAAGGCGGUUCUCUGGGACGGUACUGACGCUGAGACGCGAAAGCGUGGGGGAGCGAACAGG
rnacentral:rRNA from 1 species